GCGAAGGCGAUAGGCGUCUCAGACUUGAAGACGCCUCUCCAGCAGAACUCCCUCAUUGGUCGGCAAGAGAAAACAAAGCUGGGCUCUGAUUGGUGACAGCUCUGUAGCUCCUCCUCAUACCCGCAGUCCCCGCAAGUUCCACCCCUGCCCGCCCGGUUCGCUCGCCCUUGGUUCCCACUCCCAGGUGGCUGCAGACUGGAGUGUGUUUCAUGGACGAGCAACCUCCCUGAGGAGAACCCCGGAUACGCAGGUUCAUUCGCCAGAUGCGAGUUUUCUUAAGCCGCUGCGAUUCUCUGAUUUCAGUAUGAACUUGGUGAAUAACGUAAUCUUUAACUUCCUUUGGAUUCAGACAAGUCUCCUAGGUUUAAAAAUGCUGCAUAAGAUUGAGAGGGAUAUUGUUAUGCACGAAAAAAGACAUAAGGUGUUUUCACCUUUGGCGACACUAGUCACCAGUAAAAUGAGCAUUCAUUCAUUAAGCCAAUCAUCAGGAAUGGAUCUAGGAAGAACCUACUGUUUACUAGAAAUAGGUUAGAUCUGUGGAUAUAACAAUGAAUAAGACAAGACUGGUGGAUCUAUAGAGAAACUAUUACUGCACAGGUGAUGGGGAAAUCAAGAGUACUAUGGGGCCAAGGAGACUGUCCUGCAGCAAAUGAGGAAUAAGCUGAAACAUCAGUAGGAGCCAUCCCAGAGAAAAGGGACAGGGUUCUAGAUCCAGAGAACAACAGAAGAGCAUUCAGCGCCUGCAAGGGAGCAGGGGAUCUAAUGCAAAGCCAUUGCAUAACCAGUCAACUUUCCCCACAUCACAAGAUUGCCUAGCCUGGAUGGCCCCAGAAUGUUGAAACAAAUGUCUAAUUAGUAACGACAUUCUGAAUGCUUGGGAGCUGAGCAAAAUAUGAGGAGAAGCAACCUGAUUUUUGUUUCAUAUUAUCAUCUCCUUUAUUCCAGCAACAAAAGACACUGAAAAUAGUAAAUGCCCACUUUCAACCAUGACAGCCCUUUUAGGAUAGUAACGGUGAGCAGUAUUAAUCCUAUUUGACCAGAACUAGGGCAGAAUUGAAGCCCCUGGAGUAGAGAUCUGUUCUAUUAGCCCCAGCCUUUCCGCCUGCUUCUUGGGAUGGCUAUCUUUACUUUAUCAGUUGAGCCUCCAGCAUUAGCAGAUACCUAUAAGGGAAGAGAUCCAGCCCUCACUAUGGAGGGCCAGAAAGAGAAAGCACCAGACAUUAGGAAAUGUCAAAGUAUCUCAGUACAUCCAGCUGAUUAGUGACAGAUAAGUCAAAAUUUGCAGCAACUAAAUAAAUCAAAAAGUAGAUUUUAAAAUGUGAUCUUUGAAAUAUUUGGCACAAUGCUUCAAAGCCACUGAAAAGCUAUCUCUUCACCCUAAUAGAGGACAGAAAUUCAUUAGAUAGACAGAAGAGGCUGCAUACAGUAGCCCAUGCCCAUAAUCUCAACAACUUUGGAGGCCAAGGUGGAAAGAUUACUUGAGGCCAGGAAAUCAACACCAGCCUGAGCAACAUAGCAAGACAUCUUUACAAAAAAUUUAAAAAUUAGCCAGGUUUGGUGGUGUGCAGCUGUAGUCCUAGCUACUCGGGAGGCUGAGGUGGGAGGAUUGCUUGAGGCCAGGAGUUCUAGGCUGCAGUGAACAGAGAUUUUGCCACUGCGUUCCAGCCUGGGCAACAGAGUAAGACCCUGUCUCUAAAAUAGAUGAUAGAUAGAUAGAGAGAGAGAGAGAGAUGAUAGAUAAUAGAUAGUUGAUAGAUAGAUGAUAGAUAAUAGAUAGUUGAUAGAUAGAUAAUAGAUCGUUGAUUGAUAGAUUAGAUAGAUGUAUAAUAGAACCCAAAGGCAAAAAUAAGUUAGUCCUCAGGAAGACCCAGAUCGCAGACCUGAAAAGCCAGGAGGAACUCAAUGGAAUUUUUUUCCAUAGCAGGUGCUCUCUCUACACCUGUGCUCUAUUCUCCUAUUCUGAUAACCAGCCCCUGGCUCCUAUGUCCCAGUGUCAGAGAAAUGAUGUUCCAGAGCUGCACCCACAAGGACUAAAUCACCUGCCUAACCCUAACCCUAAUCAUAGAUGAUGGGGGCUGCAGGGGACCAGUAUGGCUGCCAGGGCCCAUCCCUGUUUAUGAGCAGAGGUUUCCCAGAGAAGACACACUGGGCAGAUUACCAGACACGCAUUCAUUGCACCCCUGACAUUUUCAAUCGCCAGUCAAUGAGGCUUCCUUUCUAGUUACUGAAAGUCUUCACCUGCUGUUUAUAGUAAACUGGAGACCUAGAGGCCAAGGCCGAAGGCUUGGAUGGUAAUUUCCCACAUUCUCUGGAAAUCUUUCUACUUCAGUUGGCUUCCAGACACCCAGUACCCUUGUGUGUUCCAGUUUCAAGUUGCCAUUCUUGUUCAGGUCUUCUAGUAAUUUCCUGUUUCCCUAUCUGAAGUGUACCUCCUGACAUCAAUGUAUUCAAAGAGCAAAUGCUCCUGCCAAAUCUAUGAGUGUCAGUGAACUAGCCUGCUGCUCUGGGCUCAGAUGAGACCAGCUUGCAGAACAAGCAGGACAGAGGCGUGAAGGGAAGCAGAUGGCAAACCUCGAUCUGCCACCAUCCCUUCCACAGGCAUUCCGUAUGAGGACAUCUGUCCCCACCCCUGGAUGAAAACUUGGGUGAUCCCGAAAUUUUUCUGAUUGCUCACAGGUAAUAAAAAUCAUUUGGUCAGUUUAAAUCACAAUAUACAGCUUUAAUUUUAAUGUAAAUGCCAUUGAUCAACACUUUCAAGCUUCAUUCACAGUUAAACUUUCCCUCUGCUUCCCCAGAAAGGGUCCCAUGCAGCCAAGCUAUGGAACUCCAAAAAGGGGGAAAGGAUCCUUCUCUCUAUCCCCCUAGAAUCCCCUUCAAAUUCAGGUUGCAAAAAGAAGGGGGAAGAGUCCAGGACUAGCAAGUUCAUGCUUAACUGGUGCAUUGCUAGCAGGGGUUGCUCUCCAAGCCUGGACAAUGACUAAAAUGUGCGCUUCCUUCUUGGGUCUUUUCUUGGGUUCUUAGAGACCUGUACUUGAAACAUCCAACUCCACUUCUCUUGACCUGAGCAAUGCAAUUUUCUCUAACACUUCCCCUCGCUUUCUCAUUCCCUGCCAGUCACUUUAUAGUCUCCUGUUGCAGGGGAAGAAGGGAAAUGGUCGCUAGGCUGCUCCAGGUGAUCCUUGUAGGCAGGAUUUAAACUCCUUCAGCCCAGCUGUCUCUUAACAAACAGCUGUUAUCUGGUCCUUCAGACAUUCAUCCAUACUUUACGCCCAUGGUUGGUAAAAGUGCAGCUGGCUGUGUGCAGACUGGUCUUCAGUGUUCUCUCUCUCCACCACUGCCCCACUGCUGCCUCAAGCCAGUAUCUUCAGCCUCUCCACUUGAGAUUUGUCUCCAAAUACCAGGGGACACAAAUCAAGUUGCCUUCAUGGUCUGCCUCACUGACACUGCCUCUCUAGUGAGUUUAAGGAGAAAGGUCUCAAAGAAGCAGGAGUAACAGAAUUGCUUUCUUCAGAGAAAACAUCUUCAUAGAUUCUUUCCUGAACUCCACUUCCUCUGCCCUUUUAUGAUCCUAUUUUGGGUGAGGCACUUUUAAGAGUCACCAAGGGGCUAGGAUAUUUCCUUUUAAGAUUUGCUUCUUGCUCUGACAACUUAUUUUGGAAUGUCACACCUAUUAAUUAUCUUGGUGUGGUAGUGCACACCUGUAGUCUCAGCUAUUCAGGAGGCUGAGGCAGGAGGAUUGUUUAAGCCCAGGAGGUUGAGGCUGCAGUGAGCUAUGAUCACGCCAUUGCACUCCAGCCUGGGCAACAGAGUGAGACCCUGUCUCAAAAAAAAAAAGACAACAACAACAAAAAAGAAUUUCACAUCUAUUGUCUCUUCCUGCUUCAGUCAAAACUUUCUUUUUACAUUUUUCUAUAUUGAUGUGAAUCUGUAAAAACUGCUCUUGUUAAUUAACACCAAGGACACGGA
rnacentral:lncRNA from 10 species